ACCAGGUGAUCUACCCUUGGUCAGGUUGAAGUUCAGGUAACACUGAAUGGAGGACCGAACCGACUUACGUUGAAAAGUGAGCGGAUGAACUGAGGGUAGCGGAGAAAUUCCAAUCGAACCUGGAGAUAGCUGGUUCUCUCCGAAAUAGCUUUAGGGCUAGCCUCAAGUGAUGAUUAUUGGAGGUAGAGCACUGUUUGGACGAGGGGCCCCUCUCGGGUUACCGAAUUCAGACAAACUCCGAAUGCCAAUUAAUUUAACUUGGGAGUCAGAACAUGGGUGAUAAGGUCCGUGUUCGAAAGGGAAACAGCCCAGACCACCAGCUAAGGUCCCAAAAUAUAUGUUAAGUGGAAAAGGAUGUGGCGUUGCCCAGACAACUAGGAUGUUGGCUUAGAAGCAGCCAUCAUUUAAAGAGUGCGUAAUAGCUCACUAGUCGAGUGACACUGCGCCGAAAAUGUACCGGGGCUAAACAUAUUACCGAAGCUGUGGAUUGUCCUUUGGACAAUGGUAGGAGAGCGUUCUAAGGGCGUUGAAGCAUGAUCGUAAGGACAUGUGGAGCGCUUAGAAGUGAGAAUGCCGGUGUGAGUAGCGAAAGACGGGUGAGAAUCCCGUCCACCGAUUGACUAAGGUUUCCAGAGGAAGGCUCGUCCGCUCUGGGUUAGUCGGGUCCUAAGCUGAGGCCGACAGGCGUAGGCGAUGGAUAACAGGUUGAUAUUCCUGUACCACCUAUAAUCGUUUUAAUCGAUGGGGGGACGCAGUAGGAUAGGCGAAGCGUGCGAUUGGAUUGCACGUCUAAGCAGUAAGGCUGAGUAUUAGGCAAAUCCGGUACUCGUUAAGGCUGAGCUGUGAUGGGGAGAAGACAUUGUGUCUUCGAGUCGUUGAUUUCACACUGCCGAGAAAAGCCUCUAGAUAGAAAAUAGGUGCCCGUACCGCAAACCGACACAGGUAGUCAAGAUGAGAAUUCUAAGGUGAGCGAGCGAACUCUCGUUAAGGAACUCGGCAAAAUGACCCCGUAACUUCGGGAGAAGGGGUGCUCUUUAGGGUUAACGCCCAGAAGAGCCGCAGUGAAUAGGCCCAAGCGACUGUUUAUCAAAAACACAGGUCUCUGCUAAACCGUAAGGUGAUGUAUAGGGGCUGACGCCUGCCCGGUGCUGGAAGGUUAAGAGGAGUGGUUAGCUUCUGCGAAGCUACGAAUCGAAGCCCCAGUAAACGGCGGCCGUAACUAUAACGGUCCUAAGGUAGCGAAAUUCCUUGUCGGGUAAGUUCCGACCCGCACGAAAGGCGUAACGAUUUGGGCACUGUCUCAACGAGAGACUCGGUGAAAUCAUAGUACCUGUGAAGAUGCAGGUUACCCGCGACAGGACGGAAAGACCCCGUGGAGCUUUACUGUAGCCUGAUAUUGAAAUUCGGCACAGCUUGUACAGGAUAGGUAGGAGCCUUUGAAACGUGAGCGCUAGCUUACGUGGAGGCGCUGGUGGGAUACUACCCUAGCUGUGUUGGCUUUCUAACCCGCACCACUUAUCGUGGUGGGAGACAGUGUCAGGCGGGCAGUUUGACUGGGGCGGUCGCCUCCUAAAAGGUAACGGAGGCGCUCAAAGGUUCCCUCAGAAUGGUUGGAAAUCAUUCAUAGAGUGUAAAGGCAUAAGGGAGCUUGACUGCGAGACCUACAAGUCGAGCAGGGUCGAAAGACGGACUUAGUGAUCCGGUGGUUCCGCAUGGAAGGGCCAUCGCUCAACGGAUAAAAGCUACCCCGGGGAUAACAGGCUUAUCUCCCCCAAGAGUUCACAUCGACGGGGAGGUUUGGCACCUCGAUGUCGGCUCAUCGCAUCCUGGGGCUGUAGUCGGUCCCAAGGGUUGGGCUGUUCGCCCAUUAAAGCGGUACGCGAGCUGGGUUCAGAACGUCGUGAGACAGUUCGGUCCCUAUCCGUCGUGGGCGUAGGAAAUUUGAGAGGAGCUGUCCUUAGUACGAGAGGACCGGGAUGGACAUACCUCUGGUGUACCAGUUGUCGUGCCAACGGCAUAGCUGGGUAGCUAUGUGUGGACGGGAUAAGUGCUGAAAGCAUCUAAGCAUGAAGCCCCCCUCAAGAUGAGAUUUCCCAACUUCGGUUAUAAGAUCCCUCAAAGAUGAUGAGGUUAAUAGGUUCGAGGUGGAAGCAUGGUGACAUGUGGAGCUGACGAAUACUAAUCGAUCGAAGACUUAAUCAA
rnacentral:rRNA from 1 species